GAAAUGCGAUAAGUAAUGUGAAUUGCAGAAUUCAGUGAAUCAUCGAAUCUUUGAACGCACAUUGCGCCCGCCAGUAUUCUGGCGGGCAUGCCUGUUCGAGCGUCAUUUCAACCAUCAAGCCCCGGGCUUGUGUUGGGGACCUGCGGCUGCCGCAGGCCCUGAAAACCAGUGGCGGGCUCGCUGUCACACCGAGCGUAGUAGAUUCUCAUCUCGCUCAGGGAGUGCUGCGGGUUCCGGCCGUAAAACAGCCUUAUUUUACCCAAGGUUGACCUCGGAUCAGGUAGGAAGACCCGCUGAACUUAAGC
rnacentral:misc_RNA from 1 species